UACAGAGGGUGCGAGCGUUAAUCGGAAUUACUGGGCGUAAAGGGCGUGUAGGUGGUUUUGUAAGUUUGAUGUGAAAGCCCCGGGCUUAACCUGGGAACUGCGUUGAAAACUGCAAGACUCGAGUUGGACAGAGGGUGGUGGAAUUUCCGGUGUAGCGGUGAAAUGCGUAGAGAUCGGAAAGAACAUCCGUGGCGAAGGCGGCCACCUGGGUCCAAACUGACACUGAGGCGCGAAAGCGUGGGGAGCAAACAGG
rnacentral:rRNA from 1 species